rnacentral:rRNA from 1 species
GACAGAGGCCUCAAGCGUUAGGCGGAAUCACUGGGCUUAAAGCGUGUGUAGGCGGAUCGUUAAGUACCUUGUGAAAUCCCACGGCUUAACCGUGGAACUGCUUGGUAUACUGGCGGUCUUGAGCCAGCUAGGGGCUACCGGAACAAAUGGUGGAGCGGUGAAAUGCGUAGAGAUCCGGAGGAACACCGACGGCGCAGGCAGCGUCCUGGCCGCUUGCUGACACUGAGGCACGAAAGCUGGGGGAGCAAACAGG